UGUGUGUGUGUGUGUGUGUGUGUGUGUGUGUAUGUAUAUGUAUGUAUGUAUGCACACACACACACACACACACACACUCACACACUCACACAC
rnacentral:miRNA from 11 species